rnacentral:rRNA from 1 species
CCUACGGGAGGCAGCAGUGAGGAAUAUUGGACAAUGGGCGCAAGCCUGAUCCAGCAAUGCCGCGUGUGUGAAGAAGGCCUGCGGGUUGUAAAGCACUUUCAGUAGAGAAGAAAAGCCUAGGGUUAAUAGCCCUGAGUCUUGACGUAACCUACAGAAGAAGCACCGGCUAACUCCGUGCCAGCAGCCGCGGUAAU